GUCGAACGCCCGUAGCAAUACGGGAGUGGCGGACGGGUGAGUAACGCGUGGGAACGUGCCCUAAGGUACGGGAUAACUGCGGGAAACUGCAGCUAAUACCGUAUGUGCCCGCAAGGGGAAAGAUUUAUCGCCUUAGGAGCGGCCCGCGUCGGAUUAGCUAGUUGGUGGGGUAACGGCCUACCAAGGCUUCGAUCCGUAGCUGGUCUGAGAGGACGAUCAGCCACACUGGGACUGAGACACGGCCCAGACUCCUACGGGAGGCAGCAGUGGGGAAUCUUGCGCAAUGGGGGAAACCCUGACGCAGCCAUGCCGCGUGAACGAUGAAGGCCUUAGGGUCGUAAAGUUCUUUUGCCCGUGACGAUGAUGACGGUAACGGGAGAAUAAGCUCCGGCUAACUUCGUGCCAGCAGCCGCGGUAAUACGAAGGGGGCUAGCGUUGUUCGGAAUUACUGGGCGUAAAGCGCGCGCAGGCGGUUUUGUAAGUUGGGGGUGAAAUCCCCGGGCUCAACCCGGGAAUUGCCUUCAAGACUGCA
rnacentral:rRNA from 1 species